UGGGGAAUAUUGCACAAUGGGGGAAACUCUGAUGCAGCGACGCCGCGUGAGUGAAGAAGGUCUUCGGAUCGUAAAACUCUGUCCUUGGUGACGAAAAAAAUGACGGUAGCCAAGGAGGAAGCCCCGGCUAACUACGUGCCAGCAGCCGCGGUAAUACGUAGGGGGCGAGCGUUGUCCGGAUUUACUGGGCGUAAAGGGUGAGUAGGCGGUAAUAUGUGUCAGAUGUAAAAGACUAUGGCUUAACCAUAGUUAGCAUUUGAAACUGUAUUACUUGAGUGCAGGAGAGGUAAGUGGAAUUCCUAGUGUAGCGGUGAAAUGCGUAGAUAUUAGGAGGAACACCAGUGGCGAAGGCGACUUACUGGACUGUAACUGACGCUGAGUCACGAAAGCGUGGGUAGCAAACA
rnacentral:rRNA from 1 species